rnacentral:lncRNA from 1 species
ACUGUAAUUAAUGUUUGCAAGCUUGACAUGUAAGGUGUCCACGUCAUCAUGCACAUCAUGUGCAUUCAAAUGCUCCACAUCACCAUCCACAUCAUGUAUUGUUGUACACUAGAAAUCCAUUUUGAUGGUACAUUCGAAUUUAAUAUUUUGAUACCUAAGCUUUUUCAUCUUCACGUUGCAAAUAAAUAUUGCACCAAACACACAUAUUUUCAUGAUAUGUAUGUCAAUAUUUCUAAGAUCCGCAAAUAUUUAGAUUGACGA